rnacentral:rRNA from 1 species
UGGGCGCAAGCCUGAUGCAGCGACGCCGUGUGAGGGAUGGAGGCCUUCGGGUUGUGAACCUCUUUCGCCAGUGAAGCAGGCCUGUCCCUGUGUGGGUGGGUUGACGGUAGCUGGAUAAGAAGCGCCGGCUAACUACGUGCCAGCAGCCGCGGUAAU